CCUACGGGGGGCAGCAGUGGGGAAUAUUGGACAAUGGGCGAAAGCCUGAUCCAGCCAUGCCGCGUGUGUGAAGAAGGCCUUCGGGUUGUAAAGCACUUUCAGUGGGGAAGAAAGCCUUGGGGCUAAUACCCUCGAGGAAGGACAUCACCCACAGAAGAAGCACCGGCUAACUCCGUGCCAGCAGCCGCGGUAAUACGGAGGGUGCGAGCGUUAAUCGGAAUUACUGGGCGUAAAGCGCGCGUAGGCGGUCUGAUAAGCCGGUUGUGAAAGCCCCGGGCUCAACCUGGGAACGGCAUCCGGAACUGUCAGGCUAGAGUGCAGGAGAGGAAGGUAGAAUUCCCGGUGUAGCGGUGAAAUGCGUAGAGAUCGGGAGGAAUGCCAGUGGCGAAGGCGGCCUUCUGGACUGACACUGACGCUGAGGUGCGAAAGCGUGGGUAGCAAACAGGAUUAGAUACCCCGGUAGUC
rnacentral:rRNA from 1 species